AAAAUAUAUAUAUAUAUAGUCCGCCGUUCGUCGAAUGCCUUAGAAGUGGCUCGAAAUGAAUGAUGAAAGUGCCCGGAAACUCCGAAAAGCGAAACGAAAACUUUCGCUUUAAUUCUCUUAACGUUUCAUCUCGUAAAGCGUUGCUUUACAUAAUUACAUGCAGCCCGUUAACAACUGUCAGAAAAUAAUAUAGCUGCUGCAACGUGUUAAGCCCGUCUUUCCGGUUGCGAUUUGGAAAUUUGCUUGCUCGCUGAUCGAUUUCUUUUUGGAUAAUCCCCAGAGAAGGUACCUCGGAAGGGGCAGGGGAGAGGGGAGAGAGAGUUGACUCGUUUCGUCUUACGUUCGCCCUGACGACGGGCGAACAAGGAUAUAUACGCGAAGAGGCUCGUAAAUCACGAACUCCGUCGCACAGUCGUGUCCGAUCUGAUAUUAAGGAACAGGACAAUGGGCGGAACGGAAGUAAACGGUCGGAGUGGGGGAAGGGAGCGGAGGAUGGCGAGAGGAAGCACAUGGAACACCAAGAGGUAUGAAGGACGCGCUGCUUGCGACUGAACGUGACGCAGUUAUCGGAUGUUAUUGCCAAUACUCCCGUUCGACAACAGGUGCAUGCGAAGAGAAAAUGGUCCGCUCGAAAAUUUAUAGCGGCCAAGAAGACUGGUCACUAAUCAUGACGCUGUUAUUAAAAAGGAUGCUUCGUUUGCGUCUCGAAAUCUCCUCGGCGAUCUCAUUUCCCUAUGUAUCAUCAAAUGUAUACAGCGAUAAUAUUACAUACGGCUUUAUAGUUUUAAUUAUUAUU